rnacentral:lncRNA from 1 species
GAAAAUUUCUUCAAAUAUUUUUUUUUUGAGAGGAUUUAUAUUCAACAGCAAGGUGAAUUGCUCAAAAGCAAAAUAAAAAAUUUAAGUUCAUUAGAACACAUUCAUUCUGUGUCAGAAACCUAUGCUGUGUCAACUAUUUAAUCACAAUCCAAAUUCAGACCUGUAUCAAGCUUGAAUAUUGUGUCCAUACUAGCCCCAACCGUUCAGGGUUCGACCUCUGCGGUUGUAUAAAGCUGCGCCCUGCGAGGCAUUUGGUUUAACUUGGCUUUUGUCAUUAUACAUACCCUGAACCAAAUGAGGGGUAUACUGUAUCACCCCUGCCUGUCUGUCUGUCAGACCAUUUUUCUGUCCCAUUAAAUUUUGGAGCAUAAGAUUUGCACCAAUUUUUACAGAAUCCAAUCUUUUACUUGCGCCAAAAACUAUUUUUGCCUUUUUUACAGGUAACAUAUAACGGAAAAGUUUAAGAUAUUGAUUGUUACAUCGUGAAUAAGAUGAUUUUGUUUAAGUAUUCCCCC